UUUGCUGCACUCCAUAAGAAGCCAUCCAUCUCUCCCCCUUCUCUUUUGCCUUUCUUCCUUCCCCUUCUUGUUCCAUUUUACUUCUAUUUUUCGUCUCGGCCUCCCACUGUUCGGUAAAUCACAUCGAUCACUAGUUGCUGGCCGCCCUUGUUUCUCCUUCGUUUGCGCGGAAACGACGAGCCGGUUUCUGUAUUGAAUCGAGGAUGCGGGAUGAGAAAUGGUCAAUGUAGCUCGAAGAUAUAAUUGGAGACUCCAGACCAUCAGUCGCACUUGUCUACCUCGAGUCGGACCGUAACCAUACUUUCCUACAGCCCCUCUUAAGACGACGGAGCAUAUGUUGAUGAAGGCGGACACCUGACCUCAGCUGCGAGUUGCCUUGACAGCAGUUUAGUCAUGGCUGAGGCUCUUGAUCCCCCUUCUGAUGCUCAGCAUGUUCAACGGCGCUCCUCUUCACAGACAUCUUCGUCUUCCAGAAAAAGUCACAGAAACAAGCCGGCGCGAGCAAAGCCCCUCAAGCGCCUUUCUACCUCCUCCACCAAUACGCCAACGGACCUGACGUCAUUUCCUUCUCUUUCUCCUGAUGCCUCCCCAGAAGGCUUCCGGGGCGAGCCUGCUCUGAAUCAUGCGUUGAGUCAAGCGUUAUUGGCAGAAGAUCAUUCUCGUCCAAACGGCGAUCGAGGUCGUAAAGCAACACUUGAGGGCUUAACGACGUCAUUACCACAGAUAUCUGGCCGUAAUGCUCUGUUUAGUGACUCGGUUACAACUCGGGAUGUUCCGGGUUCACUCCAUCUUGCUAAUGACGACCAUAUUGAGCGCAUCAUUGCAAGGACUGGAGCUGUGAAAUUGGUCCGGCAGUUUGCCAGGGAUCUUGCGCUUCGUGAUGCUGAAAUCUCAUCAAUCCGUCUGCGCGCAGACGAGCGAGAGAAGGAACUAAAGAAAAUGCUCCGUGAAGCGCAAAUAUCCAACCAGACAAUAGAACACAGGCUCUACGUUCUCGAGAAUCCCAUUGCUAAGGCGAUUGUUGAUAAUACAGAAGGCCUCAGCCCAUUAAGUGGGGUGAGAAGGGUAUCUCCCACAAUUGACGAUAUGAUGAGCCAAGCUAUGAGUGAUGAUGUAGGAGCUCAGGUGCUGGACUCACCGCCCGAAGAUGACACCAAGGGGUAUGGCAAUUUCUGCGACACAAUCCGCCCCAACCGAAAAGAUAGCGGUCCUCAACCUAGAAGCUCUAGUGCAGGGUCCAUAUCUCAGAAAAGGUCGUCUACUGCUUUACUUCGUGCCUGGCAGGGGUAUGUCUGGGGAGGUGCUACUGUUAGUCGGAAGACCAGUAAAACGAGUAGCAUGAUGAGUGACUUGGACGAGCAGGAUGGUUUGGACGAUUUCACGCAUAUGCAGAUCCAACCUGGGAAUCGUCGGAAACGUUUAGAUGAGCAACUUUUUCAAUCCCUGGAGGAAAUUUCACCCGCAUUCGGCCCUAAUGGCACAGGCUCGACAAACCCAAAUAAUGGAGAUACCGCGAGUGUUAAUUCUCGUCGUUCUUCAAAAUCGUUCGCGUCAUGGACCGUCAAAUUGUUUGCUGGAAAUCCUCACCCUGGAAAAGAAGGUGCUGAAUCUGCAAGUGUCAGAAGUCACCCCUCUUCAACUGCUCCAAGUUCCAAGGCUAGGCAGUCCUCAGCCUCCGAGUCAUCAAAACCUAGCGGCUCUGCAGUUGCAGCCCUAAAGCGCUUAAAUAGCUCGGCCGCUGGACAAACGGGGUCCACAAAGGCAUCUAGUGUUCGAGGUUCUAGAACCAACCUAUCCGGUGUACGCCGGGAUGGCCUUUCCGGUCCUAGAGAAAUUGCUACACCUGAGUCCAAAACGUCGGAUGGGAAUCCGACUGCACUGGGCCCCGUGGAGAUGGAUCCUAUAUCCCACCAACACUCACGCACAUAUAUAAAAAUUACCAGCCAGGGGAGUUUCUCACUGACCGGUUUGGUUUCAUUUAUGACCAAAGGAGGAAGAAGCGGCAGAAGGGAUCAGAUUCUCCCAACAAUGAUUCGUCGAGGAUCAGCACCACGGAAAUAAUUAGUAGCUCACGGAGCGAUCUGGAUCUGAACAUUGGUCUUCGCGCCGGCGGCACAGAGUCCUCCUUAGAUUCAACGACAGUUGAGGAUGCUGAAAAUCCAAACAUUCCUACCCGACGAUGGCAAGAUUAUUUAAAAAUUGCUACAAAGCCAACUGAACUUCUCUCACACACUCCGGAAGCAGGUACUAUUGUUUCUGUGUCCAAUGCUGCUGAACAGAAACCACGCUCGUCUUCUGUUGCUGUCCAAAAAGGAGGAUCAAUAUCUGUAGUCAAUGCCACUCCGCACGCCGCCGCACUUAUGUCGCAGGUCGUGUCCAGCAAUGCAGAGUUUGCGGGGGCAGGGAAUGAAACGUCCGCUACGCUAGUACCAGUCUCGGAACAGGAGCCCGUUAAGCUACUAUUGGAACGCCUCACCGAGCUCCACGAUUCCCUGCAACGGGACCGUACAGUAAAGUGGAAUGAAUUUUUGAGGAAAGUUCGUGCGGAACGCCGAAAGGAAGGCGAAUCCUCCGAUCGACCUAGCGUAUCCCUUGCCAUGCCUGAAGUGUCACUUGCAGACGGAGAGAUCGUAGGUAUUACAGGUCUUGGUACUAAGGGUAAAGUCGGACGUGCCAAAUGGCGCGAGUUUAGAAACCUCGUCAUUGGAGGCAUUCCUGUCGCGUACCGAGCGAAAAUCUGGUCUGAAUGCAGUGGUGCCUCCGCAAUGCGGGUUCCCGGGUAUUAUGAUGACCUUGUGAAGGGCAACACCAAUCUAGAUACUGAUCCAUCUGUCGUUUCCCAGAUAGAAAUGGAUAUUCACCGAACCCUGACUGAUAACGUUUUCUUCCGCAAGGGUCCUGGAGUCGAAAAGCUUUACGAAGUCCUCUUGGCUUAUUCUCGCCGCAACCCCGAUGUCGGGUAUUGUCAGGGUAUGAAUCUUAUCGCCGGAUCUCUACUUUUGAUCAUGCCUACUGCCGAGGAUGCUUUUUGGAUCCUUGCAUCGCUCAUUGAAAAUAUCCUUCCCGCCCACUACUACGACCAUGGCCUACUAGCGUCGCGUGCUGAUCAGCAAAUUCUCCGACAAUAUGUAACGGAGAUCCUACCUAAAUUAUCUGCACAUCUUGACGAACUAGGCAUUGAACUUGAAGCUUUGACCUUCCAAUGGUUUUUGUCUGCAUUCACCGACUGUCUGUCGGCAGAAGCAUUGUACCGGGUUUGGGAUGUCGUCUUCUGUCUCAAUAACCCCGCCGCAUCCGCUACAACGGCAGCAUUGACCUUCCAGACCCAGUCCCACGUUCAAGCUCGCACAGACAGCGCUCAGGGAGGCACCGUUUCGACGACCAACUUGAUUUCUAAUCCUACCAAUUCUCUGGUCGGAUCUGCUGCAAAUUCGGAUGGUGACCGAUUAGCCAACUACAGCGGUGGUGGCGGCACUUUCUUUUUCCAGGUUGCUAUGGCGCUCCUCAAACUCAAUGAACCGCAGCUUCUCACAACAUGCUCGACGCCGGCGGAGGUGUAUACUUACAUCAAUCAUCAGAUGACUAACCACGCAAUCAGCAUCGAUGGACUCAUACAGGCCAGUGAGGCUCUGAGGAACGUGAUUAAGCGUGAAGAUGUGUGUGCGAGGCGCUUUGCUGCAUUGAGAGACAUGAGGGCGGAUAUAAUGGGUGGUCGGUAUGCGGGGAGCAUGAAAACAGAGGGCGACUCGAUUGGAGGCACUGAUGCACAGCAGCUCAAACAGCAACAAAUUCCUGCAUAACAGAUUCUGCAUAGACGUUCAUUGUGAUUGCAUUUCCUUACUCGCAUUCUAUAUUUGUAUUCUCUCUCACUUUUUCCUUUUCAUUUGCUGAAUUUUUUAUGACAAAUAUUUCAUUUUAGGGAUGUGAGAUCACCGGCUUGAGGAAGGUAGAAGUUACAAAGACAAUAGCGCGUUACUUCAUCCCAGAUAAAUGGGAAGGCGGGCCAUGGCAUAACAUAUGACAAGAGACAGCUUGCACAACACUUCUUAAGAUUUUCCUUUCUAUCACUUCUCAUACGACUACACAGGGAUACUAUUCCUUUUUCCUUUUUCUCCCUACCUAACUUGUCUUUCACUCUACCUGUUUUACUUAUUCUUCUAUCAUAGCGCUGAGAUACCCACUCCUUUAUCGUUACAUUCCUCCUGGUUUCCUAAUUUUGGAGUUUCAGGCCUGGAUCUCGUCCUUGUUUUGUUGUUAUUCCAUCAUUUUAUUAUUCCAAACUUUUUUAUUCUACUUCUCAUAUCGCCAUAUUCCCCGCUUCGCCCGC
rnacentral:sRNA from 2 species